GAUGAAGAACGCAGCGAAAUGCGAUACGUAAUGUGAAUUGCAGAAUUCAGUGAAUCAUCGAGACUUUGAACGCACAUUGCGCCCCCUGGUAUUCCGGGGGGCAUGCCUGUCCGAGCGUCAUUGCUGCCCUCAAGCACGGCUUGUGUGUUGGGCCUCCGUCCUCCUCCCGGGGGACGGGCCCGAAAGGCAGCGGCGGCACCGCGUCCGGUCCUCGAGCGUAUGGGGCUUCGUCACCCGCUCUUGUAGGCCCGGCCGGCGCUUGCCGACACAUCAAUCUUUUUUCCAGGUUGACCUCGGAUCAGGUAGGGAUACCCGCUGAACUUAAGCAUAUCAAUAAGCGGAGGA
rnacentral:misc_RNA from 1 species